rnacentral:rRNA from 1 species
GACGAACGCUGGCGGCGUGCCUAAUACAUGCAAGUCGAACGCAGUGGGGACGGGUGAGUAACACGUGGGUAACCUCCAAUCAGAGGGGAUAACACUUGGAAACAGGUGCUAAACCGAUACUGAUGGAUGGACCCGCGGUGCAUUAGCUAGUUGGUGAGGUAACGGCGCACCAAGGCCACGAUGCAUAGCCCACCAGAGCCGAUGCUUGGCCACCCUGGGACUGAGGCACGGCCCAUACACCUACGGGAGGCGGCUGUAGCGAAUCGUCGGCAAUGGACGAAAGUCUGACAGAGCAACGCCGCUUGAGUCAAGAAGGUUUUCGGAUCGUAAAACUCUGUUGUUAGAGAAGCGGUAUCUAACCAGAAAGCCACGGCUAACUACGUGCCAGCAGCCGCGGUAAUUC